UUUCAAAAUAAUGCUUUCAGGGAUCAGAUGUAUUUUCCCAGAUUGCCAGUAAAUGAAUCUCUUAUCAUCCUGCUGGGUAGUUCCCUUCUGUUCACUUUUCUCUGGAAAUUACCAGGGGCUGCUGUUUUGACAGGUGUGAGCCUCCCCUCCCAGCAUCUCUGCCCUCCCCAUUUCCGCCACACCCUGGGAAGUGCCUUUCAGCUAAUAGCAGUUGCCUUCAGGGCAGAGGCCCUGUGCUCAGAACAACUGGUAGACAGGGAGGAGCAGGUUUAUAUUGAAGUGCUCUCCUGGCAAGUUCUGUUAGGGUUAAAUGAGGCACACGCCAGACUGCCCCACCCCUGCAGUUUGGAGAAUGCAUAGGGGAGUCUGUUUAAAUACAUGCAGCACAAAUUAUACCUCACACGGAAUACACAGAAAAUGCAGUUUUAUUUUGAAAUUUUGCUUGAGGUCUUGCAGAUCAAAGAACAGUGUGGGGCUGGGGAUGUGGCUCAAGCAAUAGCGUGCUCGCCUGGCAUGCGUGCGGCCCAGGUUCGAUCCUCAGCACCACAUACCAACAAAGAUGCUGUGUCCGCCGAGAACUAAAAAAUAAAUAUUAAAAAAAAAGAACAGUGUGAAUUCCAAAGUAACUCACUUCCUUAUUAGGAAUCCCAAAAGUGCGUUGUCAGGAGACCAGAUGGAAAUUCCUUGAUAGGGUACUGGUUUGAUAGGAGGUAUCAUAUUUGGAUUUUAAUGGCUCUUGCUGGAAAUCUGCUGGAAAUUCUUUUAUUAAAUUUUCAUUCAAAGAAGUACACAUUUGGAGCCUGCUCAGCUUAGGUGCUGGGUGCUGGGGAUGCUGGAGUGAACAGGCAGGCGGACAUCAUCGCUGGGAAGAUGGGUCACACCCAGGAGUCUGUUGGGCUAGCCAUUGCCAUCAGGAGGUGGUGGUGGGCCUGGUGCAAAGGUUUUGGCAGAGUGGGCAGCAAGAGCAGAGGCUCAGGCAGGGAAGGGUGGACCUGGUGUGUGAUUAGAACAGGGAGCAGGGAGGAGAGGAUGGUGGGAGACCAAGUCCCAGGGGUGGGCAGGAGUUGUUGUUCUUAUUUGAAGAGCUGGAAGAGUAGGUGGCAGCCUGUUGAUCCCAUGUCCUGAUCAGAGUGUGGGAAAGUGAGAGGUCUUGGUGAUUUAGGAUUCCUAUUCUGUAGGCUGGCACAGCAUGGGGAUGUGCACUGAGAUGUAGGUGACAGGGAUAGCAGUGCUUGCCCCACAUACCAAGUGCACCAGGAGCUAAGUCGAUCAUCCAGCUCCCUCUUCUGGGACCAUCCUGCAGAGAACUCUUGGUCCUUCCCUUGCCAGCCAUCCGCUGAGAGUGGCUUAAGUUGUGAGAAGGAAGAGUAUAGGCUUUGCUCCACAGUGGGCAGAGGCUGUCCCCACAGCUUGCAGGUUCAGUGAGGCGGGCUCAGGCAGGGGGUUUGGUAAAGACUGUCCACAGUGCUGCAGUGACAGAAAAACCCUAAAAUGUCCAGAUGUUCUCCAAGUGUCAGAAAUGACCAGCAUCCUGUGUCCUGACAGCCACCUUUCUGCUCAUGACUGCUGGGGAGGUUCUCCCCAGGGGAGUCCCUCUUUCCAGGAGGGGUUACUGACUCCCCAGAGGCAGGCAGAGAGGGGCAGGCUCACAGACAGCUGCUCUGGUGGGACCAGGCAGCAUGAGUCCAGGCUCGUUGGCACAAAGGCCAAUGCACUGUCCCCUGCUCUGGGAGUUCAGAGGUGCACCAGAGGCCAAUGCUCUGUCCCUUUCUCAGAGAGUUCAGAGGUGCACCAGAGGCCAACCUACUGUCCCUUGCUCGGGGAGCUCACGUCUGGGUGGAGGAGCCAAAACAUAAGCCUGAACACAGCGGAGGGAGAAUUCAAUGUGCGGCUCCUGUCAGCUUACCUCCCCAGCCCAGCUGGGGUUACAGGUGUGCACCAAGACGGACAAGCAGGAGAAGGUCAAGCUCAACUUUGACAUGACGGCCUCACCCAAGAUCCGCAUGAGCAAGCCCCUGCUGGGCGCCGGCGCAGGCUGCCUCAUUUCACUUGUCAGACAUGACAUGCUCGCCCAUGAGCACCAACUCCUUGGUGCACACGGGCUCCGAUGUGGAACAGGACUCCCACAAGAAGGCCACCUCCAGCCACUUCAGCACCAGCGAGGAAUCCAUGGACUUCCUGGACAAGAGCAUUGGUCAGCUCCAGGACGGGCGGGACAGGGGACCCGAGGCCACGUGGGCGAGGGAAAGGGCUCCCGUAGGGGAGAGGCUGGCUGCAAAAUAAGGACCUUGAAUGUAGAACCGAGGCCCAGACCAGAGGCGGGGCUGGACAGGCUCCUAGCGGUCAGUCACGGGAUUGGUGGGAAUAGUUUUCUGGUGGGCGGACUUCGGGCCAGAGCCUCUGGCCGCUGGUGCUUCACCAGAACCGGGUGGAAGGGUCAGCAGGGUUUGUCCCUAGUGGGUCAGGGUCAGCCCCUGCAGUGCUGUGCUGGAACUGGAGCCUAGAAGAAGCUGGGGAAGACACGCCCUGGGGAGGACACACGCUGGAGACCAGGCUUCUCCCACCAGCUGGUCCCCUAUGGAAGUUCUGAUACCAGGCUUGCCAUCUGAUGGCCCAACGUCGUUGCUGUAGGUUGCUGUAGUUCACGCUUUCUGUUCACCGAUGGCUGCCUGCCCCACUUGGGCACCAGAGCCCGAACCCGUAGCCUCCGCAGGAACUGCAGGGUUAUGCUUCCCUGCCUGCAAAUUUUCAAUGAGUGAUUAGAUGUGAUCCUUGCUCUGUGUGACCUACAAAUGAGAUUAGUGUUUCCAAAAGGCUCACUAGAAUUCAUUCCUACACCUGAGUGGAGGUGGCCAGAAAUUCUUUUAGAGUUCACUUCUAAUGUCACUAUCUCUUGGAUUAAUCACAGCAAACUCCCCAUUAUUUCAGACUAAACUAUGUAGCAAUUAUGAUGUCUGCUACAUGGUAAUUAACAAUUGCAAAUGGCAGAAAUCAGGUUUUAACACAUGAGACCUUUAACUUCCAUAAUAAUGAUAAAAAUUAAGAUGAUAAAAUUAAUAGUUUUUGAAAAUAACAGUUAACAUUUGAUCAUCAUUUUUAGACUUUCAAAGAACUUACAUAUCAAUUAUAUCAUUUUCUCUUUACAACUACUCUAAGAGAAAGGAAAGGUGUUAUACUUCUGUUUUAUACAACAGGAAAGUUAAGCAACUUAACAGAUUAUAAACAUGCUAGUUACAGAUUUUGGAAUAGAAUUACUUUUGUAUAAAUCAAUAUACAAAAUAAAUCCAUUAGUCUUUGGCAAAAGUUAGCUCUGAAGAAUGAUGAAGAUGUAACUUUCUAUGCAAGUGAUGGUUCUGUCAUGUUUGUCUCCAAACAGUAUUCUUAAUUCAUCUCCUUCUGAUUUCUUUGUUCCUGCCACAUCAUAAGAUAUAGUCCUCUUCCAGCUGAGCUCCUCACAACUGAUUCUUCCGUAAGAUACCUAGAAUGUUCACGUCAGUUCAGAUUCAAGUAUAUAUUUCCUAUACUGCACAUUUAGCUUUAUAAAAAAACUACAAAGCUCUUUUUUCAAAGUGGUGAUAAUACUUUACAUUUUUACCAGCAAUGUGUAAAACUUGAGUGCAGAGUGCAUCCUGUUGCUAAACUGUAUUCUUUAAUCCCUUUAAUGUCUUUCUAUUGCUUUUGGAACAAAACCAUGUUGUUUCAUGUUUUUUUCAUUUCUUUCAUGAUCUCAGCUUUUAACUUUGCAACUUCUUAGCACUCUUCUUUGUGCGGAUUUUUUUUUUUUUGCUUACUUUUGGUUUGGAUGCACCUUAUAUUCUCUUAUCUUAGUGCUAUUGCUCAUACUCUCCAUUGCUUAUAAUUCUCCUGAGUCUGUGCCAUAUGAAAAUCUUAUAAUCUUGGCCCUGGUAUUAAGUGACAUUUCUUUAUAAACAUAUUUCAAAAAGUCAAGUCUACCCUCAUCAUUCUGUUUCCCUUUAAUUGGUCCAUUUCUACAUUUUUUAUUUGUUUAUUAUCAGAAAGUGAAUUGGUCUAGCAGGGAACUGGCUACACGAGUUUGAACACCAGGUAAGAGAUCUGAGAUGGAAUUCCAAAAUGGAAAAAAGAAAUCUCCAUUCCAAAUGAAACUUUGAUUAAGAAUUAUCCACAAAUAAGAAAAAUAAAGAGCUACUCACGAUAAAGCAAAAUAACGUGUUCUUGUAACAUCCCCUCAAGAGUUCUGCAUAGUGUUCAAAUUUAGUGCUCCACCCUAGAACAUGACAGUCACAACAAAGAACCAUCAACCAUUAGAUUAAGUACAUUCCCAAGUUAAAUGUCACUUUGGCGUCUUUUAGGCAUUGCUCAUUCAAUUGUGAAUAUCAUGUUUGCUAUUUUGCUUUUUCAUUAAAUGUUCUCUGCACGUGGAUAUUUCUCAGUGUAAACACAAUUUAUGCACAUAACAAACACUUGUAGAAGUGUACCUUAUGCUAUUGUCCAGAAAAUAAAAAUAUGUAUAAAUGUACAAGAAAAUUUCUAUUAUCAUCAUUUGCCUUAGAAGUAAAAUUAUAAUAGAUGUAAUAUUCUUGUUUGAAAAAUUUAAAUUUUAUGUGAAUUUAUGUAAACACAUGUUCAAGAAUUUAAGGUCAGUAAUAUAUUAGUGAAAAGUAAAUAACUUCAAUUUGGUGGUAUUUUUAUGUUUAUAUUUACGUGAAGUCAGUGAGAAUCAAUUUCUUCUUUUAUCUGACCAACUAAAUUUUGAAAAUUUGAUCUUAAGUAAAAUGUUUAUCAUAAUGAAACCAAAGGUUGGAUUUUAUGAAAUACGAAUUGCUGUAUUUGUUGACUUUUUUUCCCCUUUCUUAUUUCAUCGAUAGCACAACAGCAGUUAUGGGCCUACAUUUUUAGGGCAAGAAAUAAAGUCUUAUAAUUGUAAUUGCAAAUUUCAGGAGUAACAUAUAUUUUCAUGGCCACACAAACCAUUUGGUAAAUUAAAACUUAAAUCCUAUCAUGAAAGCUAAAGUUCCUACAGCUUCUUGGAGAUAAAAUUGCCAUAAUAUUUUUGGCUUCAUAAAUUUUUUUGUGUGUGUGCUCAUUAAUACAAAUAAGGCCAAAGAUUUAAGAGUAUGAGUUUCAUUUUAAAUGUGACUUAAACAUAAAAACACAGUAUUUUUAAUAAACAUUCUAGAAAAAUACAACAGGACCAUCACCAUUAAUUAGUUUGAAAACUAAGUUUGAGCUCAUGUUUGGUACUCAUGGAAAUAAUAUCCAUGCCAGGGUAAACUGUGGCAGCUCUAUAUUAUUUGUUUUUUAUUUAAACUUACAAAGUGUUAAGUGGAGUUGAAGGACAGGACCAUGGCAAAUGAGUGAAAAAAGAUCUUAGAAAACUCACAUAUUAUUAUUACAAAAGAAACUUGGCUACCUAAGACCUUCAUCAUCAACAAUUUACUCCUCAAUAUGUGCCUCUUUAAUUUUCUUCAUUGCUACAGCCAGAGUUUGUAACUUUACCAUGUGUUUUGCAUUUCUCUUCAUUUCUUCUUAGCAGGAGCAAGUAGUAUACCUAGAACACCAGCAUUCUGAGAAUAUUAAUUAUAAAAUGGAAAUAAGGUAAGUUAAUCCUCCCAGCUCUGCUUAACUUCAAGACAAAGAAACUUGAAACUUUCCAACUGUGAAAACUUCUAGACCAUCCUCUUUAGAUUUCUGAAUGGGUUCCAGAAAGAAGGCUGGUAAGAGAUUUUCUUCUACUUGACAUAUCAUGGUAGUGAGCUUAGGUUAUAAGCUCUCUGAAAAUAUUUGAGGAGUCAUCGUGUUUGCCGCAGAGUACCUAAGCAGCCUGGCCUGAUAACUUUCUUGGUUACAGUACAUUUUCAAUCCUGUGGAUUUUUAGUGCUGUUGGAUUAAACCUAUGAUCAUGUUUUCCCCCUCAGUGUUGAAAGACUGGAAUGAGGUGCACUGUUAAUGUGUACUCAUAAUUCUUUCUCCCCAAACUGGAGGGUAUGUGCUGAACGAUGCCAAGCUCGUCACCCUCCUUGAAGAGCUGCAUUUUCUAGAAAUGAAAAUUAUGGUUAAUUAAGCCUCAUUGUCCUGUAAUUUACUUAAACCCACAAGCAAAUUAUUUAAGGAUCAUUCUCAUAUUUCAUAAAGCCAGUAUCAAUCCACUGGAAAAAAGGGAGGCUUUGUGAUUGAUGCUUUCCAAAACCAAAAUAACAUUUAUGUAAUCAGGCAUAGCUAAUUCGAACAAUGUGAAUGGAAAUAUCAACUGGAUUUUUUUAAGGACAAUAUAUCUGUGUGUAUAUCAUUAAAAUGGUUUGAAACAAAAAGAAAUCUGUUAUACAUGUUCUGCUGCUGUUAGCAAAUAGAAACAUGUCUUAGAAUUUUAAGGAAAUUUUAAAGUGUCCUUGAAAUUUUCAUCAGUUUUUCAACAUUCAAUAUGUCUUUUUAGAAAAUAAUUUAAUUUUUUUCUGCCUUCUCAUAUACAUGUCUUCCAAAGCUAUUGUUAUAAUUUUGCAAACUUGUACUUAAAUGACUAGAAAAGAUUCCAUGCUACUAAUUAACUACAUAGAAUCCUUAAUUUUUAUCUUACAUUAUACACUGAAUAAAAGGAACACAAAUAAAAUGGUUUUUUCAUUUCGUUUCACAGUAUACUUGUGUUAUAAUUAGGCAAAGUUUAAAGUUUAGUUGUUAACACCCACUGACUUUUUCAUUUUAAUUUUUAAAUCCCAUAAUCUUAUAAUGCUUCUAUUUUAAAGCAGGAGAAACCUCUCUAAACUGGACACCUCUUACAAUUUAAUACACAUGAUUUAAGAAAAUCAUUUACUUCUUAAGUUGUGAAAGUCAUUUGUAAUUUCCAAUUGCACUACUCGGAUCAUUAACAGAUAAUGAUACAUAAACACACAUUGUGUACUUUCCAAACACUUGAACCAGUUUAUUUUUUCAUUAGUAAAAUGCCAACGUGUAUCAUAUCUGCCAAGUCACCAUCUCUGGAAAUAUCAGUGUUAGGCCAACUUCACCUCAUAAAACUUUAACAAGAAAUUGCAGAACUUGGCUGUCUUGAAAUACCUGAGUGCUUUCUGGUUCCUUUUGCUGUAGUUUUCUGCUUUUGAAUUAUUUCUUGAAGACAGAAUAUGGAUAUUAAUCAUUCAACUUUAAAGAUAUAUUAACAAAUUUUAUUAUCACGUUUGUAACUUUCAAAGAUUGUUUUAUCUUACUACUAAUUAAUGGAUACUGGAUUGCAAAAGAAUUUAAAAUUGCACCCCAUUCCUUGUAAGUGACAGAUAUAAAAAUUUCAGCCUUCAUUUAGGUGCUUGACAUCAGAGUGGGUGUUAUCAUAUGAAGAACUCUUGGGAUAGGUUUAGAUUAAAUGGCAAUAAAAUGUAACAAAGUGUAACAACCCUUCCAUAUAAGAUCCUUAUGUAGUAUGUUUGUCAGUUUAAUAAUGUAACUGAAGUAAAUAAAGCUUAAUACUUCCAGUAUAAUUCUUCCAAAUGAAAUUAGAUUUAUUUCUACUGUAGUUCCUUACAGAUGCUUAAGCUAAGGGACCCUGCUUUUAUUUAAAAUAAAAUUUUCUGAAGAGAGGGAAUAACCCACCUGCUCUAAUUCUCCUAUUCCUCAUGAAUCUCUAUCCUUAGGAAUAAUAUGAUUCUUCUCCUUGAAUUGGUAGAAUAUAUUGAUAGAAAUAAUUAACCUGUCCUUCAAACUUGUCAAAGUUGCUCAUUAUUUUUUUUCUUUCUCAAACAAAAUCUCAGUGAGCUUUUGUGGAAGUGGGGUUAAAUAUUGCAUAAGGAUAAAUGGCAUUUUACUGAAAGACUGAAACAGCAACAUAAAACUGUAACUUCCUCUCCCCAGGAAAAAAGGUAAAUAUUCUGAAAAGUGGUCUCAUCCCACACUUCUAGAGACACUAUCAACAAUUCCGUAGAAGAGUGGCUUUGCAGUUUUCAUUCUCCUCUUUUUUUUUUGAAUAGAGCCCAAAGAAUUAACCAAAACACACGUCUACUCAGCUUAAGAUCAUAUCUACCAGCCUUUCCCAUAUGUAAGCGCUUGCUUAGAGCCUCACUUAAUUGCUAAGGCUGGCCAUGAACUUGAAAUCCUCCUGCCUUAGCCUGCAGAGUCUCUAGGAUUACAGAACUCACAACUUGGGAAAGUAUGCACAUGGACCCUGAGAGAGGAAGGAGACACCUGCCUGGUCAGCAGAUGGGCCAAGUGGACUCUGGAAAUCAAUGGGUGGCAGGUUUGCAGGCUGAAUUGCCCUUGCAUCCACAUGGGCCACAUUUAAUGAUGAAGAGAGUGAGCACAAAAGCUUAUGAAGUGGCUAAAUUCACGCAAGUGGUUAAAAAACUCCUUCUCCUUUGGCAUAUCCAUCAACAGCUGCCCUUCCUGUCUCUCAUCAGUUGACCUUUUCCACCUCUUAUAAGGAACACCUCUCUGGUUCUCUGAGUCCUUUUUUUGAAGAUGCUCUCACUAGGCUAAAGAAACACGAUGAUUCAACCGUUUAACAAUCAUUGGAUUCUGCUGUGAGAAAAUUCUACAUGACGAAUCCCAUUUUUGCACAGUCAGAGCUUUCUGAGCAAGGAAUAGAGGCACUGGGGAGCUAAAGGAGAAUUGAAUACCAAAACACCACUGGAAGUCAAAAACUACUCCUGAGAGAUAUAAAGACUUAGCUCUAAGGAACCAUUUGUUUUUAAUAUGUCCGGGUGGUAAAGCAGUGACCUUGUUUCUAAUCCCAAAGACAAUUCCUUUGC